GGAUGUCAGCUGACAAACAAGAUUUAGUAUUGGAGUGGACUGAUCUAGUUAAUGAUGUCCAGUCUAAAGUCGAAUGGAGCUGUGAGAAGGAAUUAACCGUCAUAAAAAUGCUAGAUGAAUUGAUUGAGAAAUCAGAUGAUUUAGUGGAGCAAUUGAUGUCAACUAAAGAUGAUUUCAAAGCCAGAGUAUCUGAUAUCUUGAAUGCUCUCUUGUGACCACGGUGGUAUUUAUCGGGGUAUUCAUCAUCAUUAGAGGACCAAUUCGUUACAACUUCGAUUUUGUAGUGUUUGUUGUUUAUUUUAUUUCUGAAUUGAAAUUGUUCUAGAGUAUUGAACUGUUUCCAGUAUGCAAAACGUUAGAAUUAUGAUUAUGUUCAAAAAGCUGUAAAGGAUAUGGAAAGUUUUACCAAAGUACAAUUGAAUUUUUGUAGAUAAAUAUGUAAUGUGGUUUUUUUGUAAUGUGGUUUUUUUGUAAUGUGGUUUUUUUGUAAUGUGGUUUUUUUGUAAUGUGGUUUUUUUGUAAUGUGGUUUUUUUGUAAUUUGUUCUUUAUAAAUUAAAUCAAGAUAAUUCGAUUUAAAUUAA